rnacentral:rRNA from 1 species
GACGAACCGUGCGAACGUUAUUCGGAAUCACUGGGCUUAAAGCGCGUGUAGGCGGAAGGGCACGUCCGUUGCUGAAAUCCCCCGGCUCAACCGGUGAACGGGCGCGGAUACGACUCUUCUGGAGGGGCGUAGGGGGACCUGGAACUUCCGGUGGAGCGGUGAAAUGCGUUGAGAUCGGAAGGAACGCCCGUGGCGAAAGCGGCGCACUGGACCAUAACUGACGCUGAGGCACGAAAGCUAGGGGAGCAAACAGG